GAUGAACGCUCGCUACAGGCUUAACACAUGCAAGUCGCGGGGCAGCAUGGGGGUUGCUUGCGACCCCUGAUGGCGACCGGCGCACGGGGGAGUAACGCGUAUACAAACUGCCCUUCACCACGGGAUAACCCGGCGAAAGUCGGACUAAUACCGUAUGUUGUCCAUUGACGGCAUCCGAUUUGGACGAAAGGGUUGGCGGGGAAAGGACGGGGAUGCGUGCGAUUAGCUUGACGGUGGGGUAACGGCCCACCGUGGCUACGAUCGGUAGGGGUUCUCAGAGGAAGGUCCCCCACACUGGAACUGGGACACGGUCCAGACGCCUACGGGAGGCAGCAGUGAGGAAUAUGGGUCAAUGGGCGUAAGCCUGAACCAGCCAAGUAGCGUGCAGGAUGACGGCCCUAUGGGUUGUAAACUGCUUUUAUGCGGGGAUAAAGUGGCCCACGUGUGUGCUUUUGCAGGUACCGCAUGAAUAAGGACCGGCUAAUUCCGUG
rnacentral:rRNA from 1 species